GUUAACUGGCUUGUUUUGACUAGUUUGUCUGACCUGACGGGUUUGACUGUUGAGCAAGACUGUUAACUUUCCUGUUAACUUUGACAGACUUUCAGUUAUCAUUUAAUCCGUUCGAAGUCUAUUAUUAUGACCUGAUGAUUUUUAAUCCCGAUUUCAUAUGCAGAGUAUGUUUAAGCAAUCGGAGUUCAUAAGCACCACUUUUACUUUUGCUGUGAGGAUUAUUUUAUUAAAUCUCAUACCAGCGUAGAAUUGCUAUUGAGGAUAGUGUAGUUUCAAAGAUGUUUGGUCUAUAUAUCAAGUUGGGUAGGAGUCUUGUGUGGCAGUUACACGUUUAUAUAGUGAUGCAGAGUAAAUGAUUGCAAGAGUAUAGAGACGAACUUAUGUACUAUCAAAGCAGAGAAUUAUAUAUAUAUCCACAUAAUUGGGGAGUGCAUAGACUAUGUACUAUAGCACAUAGCUUGUUUCAGGUGUUGUACAACGCACCGUAUUUGUCCAUGUUAAAGCUAAAUUCUCAUGGUCGGUGUUCUAUUACUGAGUCAAUUGUUGUCUCUUGUUACUCAUUUUUUUCUUCCCUUUUCGGGUGAAAAGUAAGAAACUUUAAGGAUGGUUGGGUUUUAUGAGGCGUUUUACUUUUUUUUUUGUUUAACCUGGGGCUAUCCCGGGUCUAUGAAAGGACCCAGACUAAUUUCCAAGAGAAUGUGCAGCCUACGGAUAGAUCUUCUUUCCGGGUAUGUAAAUGAGCUCUAAAACAUGGGACUAUAUCCGUGUGGUGUCCAGAGAUAUCAUAAAGUAGUUCCCUCCGGUAGAGUUCGAACUCGCAACCUGGGUGCAUGAAGGAGCCCGUCCUUACCAUUGGGCUUCCGGAAAUGUGUUUUACUUUCUCUCUCUUUUUUAAUUAUUUAUCUAUAUAGUAUUUCAGCUUAUUUUUAUGAAAGAUUUACAUAAUGAGUCACAUUUACACUUAUUAAUAACACUAUGGGUAACUUUCUUCUACCCAUACACUUUCUCUAUUUUUUGCUCAUUUAUCAUUAGGUUUACUAACCAAAAACAUAACUAUAUUGUAAUUAGUGGAUCCCAGUUCUCUUCUUCUUCACAUCUCGUUUCUUUUUCUUUUUCUUUUUAGAUCUCAUCUGAGAUUUCCCGAGUGAAAUCAUUGGUUUCAUAAUGAAUCUCCUCCACAUCAAUCAUUUUUCUCUUCUCCAGAUCCAACCCUCGCCUCUUCAUCGCAACUUCUCGAAUUAUCAUUGUACUCCUCCACCAUCACCACACCUUCUAAUGUCGCCGCAAUCAAUUUUCUUCUCCACGGCUCAAGCCCAGGAACUCUCCACCUCGUGCUCUCAGCCUUCGCCAUCUUUGGAAUCAAGCCUCCAUCGUGUCUCUGCUCCGUCGUUGCUGGCUCGCCAUCGUCGUUAACGAGAUCCGGCGAGAAGAUCGCUCGAGCAACAUCAAUGGAAUAGUAUCGUCUUUUUGCACUUUUGUUCCUCUAGUUUUGUGCUUCUUUCACAAUAUGCCUCAAACUUCCAAUCUGAUUAAAUUGCUUUACAAAUUUACCGCAUUGUACAUGUGUACACGUAAUUUUACUGAUCAAUGUGUACAUCAUACCCAUUGUACAUAUGUACACGUAAUUAGAAUGUGUUUCUUAGUUUGAAUAACAAAUUAGCUUUUGGUAUAAAAAAGACAUUCAUUUUUAAACUAGUGAUCACUUUGUUUUGUU